GUCUGCAUUGAUUUAAUUGAAUUUUAUUAAAUAUUUAGAGAACAAAUAAUUCCUAGGCAACAUGGAAAAAUAAGGUGCAAAGGAUUAUAGAUUUAUAGCUUCAAGAGCCUAGGGAUAUAGCUUCAUCCUCUCAUUUUACCUGUGCCAAAGCCCAGUGUGGCAAUAAUUUAGAAGAUAUUUAUACUUAAAGGAAAAAAAAAUCAGUGAUUGGGAAAUCACUGGAAAGGAAGGUAUGCACUAGAAUUAGCCUUAUUAAAGAAUGAUAAAUUGAAAAUUAUUAGGAACCUUAUGGGGCUUUUACUUCAAACCACUCAAUUCAUGUUAAAAAAGCAGAGGUAUAGAGCAAUCAAAUUACUUAUCCCAGGUCAGAAAGUUGUGAAGAAAUGUAGUUGAGACAGAUUCUUAAUUGGUUAGUAGUAUAUCAUUCAAUACCCUCUUAUGUUAUGACACAGAUCUAGACAGCAGAAGUGACAUACCAAAGAUCACAAGAAUUUGAGGUGAACCAAGUAUAAUAAUAAUCCAGGUCUUCUACCUCUGUGUUAGACACACAAUCAUAUGGUUUUUCUCCAGUUUUUUUCUUUUUUAGCUAUCUGAAGCAAAGGCUGUGGGUGGGUAGGUAUGAACUGCUGAGGUAAGAUAGGGCAAGAUCCUUAAUAGAAUAAGUAUAAAAAGACAAAUGAGGGAAAAAAAGAUUGUGUCGAGUUCAACUAAUUCAUCAAUGGAUCAAAAUGAAGAAAGGAAGAGAAUUUUUCAAUUCAGGGUAAUAGUUUGAGAAAAAUACCCUGAGAAGUAGAGGGAUAGAAGGUCAGAGUGAGAAUGAACAAUGAGGUUUAGGGUUUUGUGGCAGAGGGAGAGGUGGAAUAUAAAGGUUAUUUUAGUGUUUAUAAAUAUAGAAGUGGUGAAUUUAGGGGUGACAACAAAAUGAAGGUAUGGCCAUCUUUGUGUAGCUGAGGUAUGGUGAGGAAGCCGGUCCUAUGAAAUAAAAAUGGCGAAGAACUGGGAGAUUAGGGUAAAUAUUCCUUUGAUAUUUGGGGAGUAUCAAUAUGUUUUUUGAAGUCCUAUAUCAUGAGGCUAGGAGUUGGGAAGAAAAGAAAGAAGGUGAGCCAGUCACUAAACUCUUUGCAAAAACUCAGGGGAUGUCCUGGGGAUCAAUAAAUAAAAGCUACCAGAACUUGAUUGAUUUCUAGGUCUGGAUUAAGUGAACUGAAAAGGGAGAAGUUACUGAUAGAUGGUCAUAGAGGAUAGUCUGGACAUUCUAACGGCCUCAUUUUAAACAUUAAGUGAGACAAAUGAGUACAAAUAUAACUAGUGCUGGAAAGGGAGACCAAGAAGAAUGGAAUAAGGAAGGAGUCUACUUUCAGUGGGUAACAAAAUAUGAAAAGAGUGGGAAAGGAAAAAUUUUAAAGAUGAAAACAUAUCUGUUAUCAAUGGAGAGUGCAUUCCAGAGAGCAAAGUAGAAGGGAUGGGUAGCUCUAGAAUGGAACAUUGUGGGAGUUGGGUUAAAAGGAUGGGAAUAAUUUGAAUAAUUAGAGGCUGUGGUUCAGAAUCAUUAAGAAGAGGAGGUUACAACUGGGUGUGUGCUUAUUAAUUAUUGAUAAAUGGAUUUUGGGGUGUUAUCAGUAUUCUUAGGGGCUUGCCUUCAGAGUAGAAUCUUCUUGGUCAUUUGUCAACUUAGGGGAAGGGACUAAGGAGAGAAUUAGAUGAAAAAGAGAAAAAAAAUAACUCUUGCAUACUAUCCAAUCUGGGCCUGAAGAACAUUGGGGAGAAGAGAGUGGAAUGGCAAGCAGAACUGGGCCAAUCCAGGAAAUAUGCAAAAGAAACAAAGAGGAAUCAAACCUUCCUCUUUUUCACAUCAUGAAGAGGUACAAGAAUGAGACCAGAAGAAAAUGGAAGGAAAUCUCUCUUCCUCCCCUUACACCUUGAAGAGGCCAGGUUAGAAAUUGGUGGAUAGGAGGGAAUGAUAUCUAUCUUCCUCUUUUGCAAUCAGGAAGAACUGAGAUGCAUUUCAAGCUGAAUUCUAUUAAACAGUGUAAAAACAAAUGAUUGUAGGUCCUAGGUUAUAUAAACUAAACAUAUAUAUACACACAGAGAGAGAAGACAUCUCAUGAAGCUCCUUCUAUAACACAUUUAUUGUUCUGAUGCACAAAUCAGUUGACAUAAAUUAGGCAAUGAAAAAGUAGACCAAUAUCAGAAGUGAACCUUAUUUUAAGAAUACUGAUUAAAACCAUGAUCAAAGAGGUCAUAGCUGUGUAUUCACAAAUCAUCUUUAUUUAUCAAGUUGAAUUUAUUCCAGAAAUUCAAGGAUAUUUCAAAUUUAGGGAAAAUAUAGACAUAAUUAUAUUGAUAGCUAGCACAAUAGAAAUUAAUUUUGAAAAAUUGAAAAUUGAGAGGAUGCCCAUGAAUUGGGAAAUGACUCAAUAUCCUGCAGUAUGUAAUUGUGAUAGAAUAGUAUUGUCUUAUAGAAAAUGAUGAGCAGGAUGUUCUCAAAAAAAAAUUCUGGAAAAUCCUCCAUCAACUU